AACGAACGCUGGCGGCAUACCUAACACAUGCAAGUCGAACGAGACCUUCGGGUCUAGUGGCGCACGGGUGCGUAACGCGUGGGAACCUGCCCUUAGGUUCGGAAUAACUCCCCGAAAGGGGUGCUAAUACCGGAUAAUGUCUUCGGACCAAAGAUUUAUCGCCUUUGGAUGGGCCCGCGUUGGAUUAGCUAGUUGGUAGGGUAAAAGCCUACCAAGGCGACGAUCCAUAGCUGGUCUGAGAGGAUGAUCAGCCACACUGGGACUGAGACACGGCCCAGACUCCUACGGGAGGCAGCAGUGGGGAAUAUUGGACAAUGGGCGAAAGCCUGAUCCAGCAAUGCCGCGUGAGUGAUGAAGGCCUUAGGGUUGUAAAGCUCUUUUACCCGGGAUGAUAAUGACAGUACCGGGAGAAUAAGCUCCGGCCAACUCCGUG
rnacentral:rRNA from 1 species